GAACGGGUGAGUAACACGUGGGCAAUCUGCCCUUCACUCUGGGACAAGCCCUGGAAACGGGGUCUAAUACCGGAUACGACACGGGGUCGCAUGACCUCCGUGUGGAAAGCUCCGGCGGUGAAGGAUGAGCCCGCGGCCUAUCAGCUUGUUGGUGGGGUGAUGGCCUACCAAGGCGACGACGGGUAGCCGGCCUGAGAGGGCGACCGGCCACACUGGGACUGAGACACGGCCCAGACUCCUACGGGAGGCAGCAGUGGGGAAUAUUGCACAAUGGGCGAAAGCCUGAUGCAGCGACGCCGCGUGAGGGAUGACGGCCUUCGGGUUGUAAACCUCUUUCAGCAGGGAAGAAGCGAAAGUGACGGUACCUGCAGAAGAAGCGCCGGCUAACUACGUGCCAGCAGCCGCGGUAAUACGUAGGGCGCAAGCGUUGUCCGGAAUUAUUGGGCGUAAAGAGCUCGUAGGCGGCUUGUCGCGUCGGAUGUGAAAGCCCGGGGCUUAACCCCGGGUCUGCAUUCGAUACGGGCAGGCUAGAGUUCGGUAGGGGAGAUCGGAAUUCCUGGUGUAGCGGUGAAAUGCGCAGAUAUCAGGAGGAACACCGGUGGCGAAGGCGGAUCUCUGGGCCGAUACUGACGCUGAGGAGCGAAAGCGUGGGGAGCGAACAGGAUUAGAUACCCUGGUAGUCCACGCCGUAAACGUUGGGAACUAGGUGUGGGCGACAUUCCACGUCGUCCGUGCCGCAGCUAACGCAUUAAGUUCCCCGCCUGGGGAGUACGGCCGCAAGGCUAAAACUCAAAGGAAUUGACGGGGG
rnacentral:rRNA from 1 species